UGGGGAAUUUUGGACAAUGGGCGCAAGCCUGAUCCAGCAAUGCCGCGUGCAGGAUGAAGGCCUUCGGGUUGUAAACUGCUUUUGUACGGAGCGAAAAGGUCUGCCCUAAUACGGUGGGCUCAUGACGGUACCGUAAGAAUAAGCACCGGCUAACUACGUGCCAGCAGCCGCGGUAAUACGUAGGGUGCGAGCGUUAAUCGGAAUUACUGGGCGUAAAGCGUGCGCAGGCGGUUAUAUAAGACAGAUGUGAAAUCCCCGGGCUCAACCUGGGAACUGCAUUCAAAGCUGACUGACUAGAGUAUGGUAGAGAGUGGUGGAAUUUCCUGUGUAGCGGUGAAAUGCGUAGAUAUGCGGAGGAACACCGAUGGCGAAGGCAAUCCCCUGGACCUGUACUGACGCUCAUGCACGAAAGCGUGGGGAGCAAACA
rnacentral:rRNA from 1 species